CCGCCCACCGUCGGGUAAUCGUCGGCUUCUUCUGAACCGAACUGCAGUGCAGAGCCGGAAUGGGGGGCUUGGCCCCAAUCCAGCACGGUCAAAAUUAGCUCUCUGUUGAAUUACAUGCAGUCAGCCAGUGGAAGCGGCUGAGAUCCUGACGCCCCAGUCCCGCAGCCUUGUAUGGGGGGUCCAAACCCCGCAAGGCUGCUGCUCGGCUCCGCUUUCGUCCAAGAAAGCCUUUUCCAACAGCAACUUUACAGCAAGGGACAAGAACAAAGACUUUAUCUGUUGUUUCUUCAACAUGACACCAACAGGAGCAAUGGGGGAUCCCAUUAGAGCUGACGGCUGUGUUCCUGAACCCGGUGGGACGGAGAGGAACGACCACGAAAGAUCGACAUUCCUUCUGUCUGAUGCAGGAUAGAGAACGGCCCUCUGGGGAAAUUGUAUCCUCAUGUUUAUUCUUUUUUAUUUCCUAAAUCAUGUAUAUCUUUAUUUUUUAUGGUUAUGGCGUGCGGUACAGAUGAAUUAUGACGCUGGGGCUGUUUCCCCAUCUAUGUGAUUAAUAACAUUUUAGAAAAACCUGGGACUCUAAGCCUUGAUGAUAUGUUCUUCGGAGGGGGCGGCAGUAAAGACACACAGCACCUCAAGACAGACUGGAGCUUCACUAAAGACCCACAUGUCUGUGUUUGUAAACUCCAAAGGGGCCCUCGGGGGUCCGGCGGCAGCGGCACGUCUUCCACUUGUCCACUUCAACUUCACACGGCUGGACUCUUUCAUACCUCUGUGAACAAACCCACCGAGAAAUGUUAAUGAUGUUCUGUAUUGACAUGCAAUGUGACAAACGCCACGUGUUUUUAACAACAUCAGGGUUCCCACAUGGACAAACAGAACUGGUGUCUUCACUCAAAAAUUGGUGAAGAAACUAUUUCUACACAUAAAGAAAUUUCACAAAAAAAAAAAAAAAAAAUAUUUUCAAUCAGAAAUUAAAAACAUUUUACAAAAAAAAAAAAAAGAAUUGACAAAUUUAAA